CUUGGUCAUUUAGAGGAAGUAAAAGUCGUAACAAGGUUUCCGUAGGUGAACCUGCGGAGGGAUCAUUACUGAAUUCAUGGAGUGUUGUCGCUGGCUCUUCGGAGCAUGUGCACGCACUUCAAAUUCAUCUUUACCACCUGUGCACUUUUGUAGACUGUGAUAACUCUCAAUGGUUUUUCCGUUGGAUUGAAGGACUUGCGUUUAGCUGUCUUUCGACUUCACAGUCUAUGUCUCGUCUACUAUAAAAAGUCUAGAAUGUAACUUGUGGGUCUUCUGACCUAUAAAACUUAUACAACUUUCAACGACGGAUCUCUUGGCUCUCGCAUCGAUGAAGAACGCAGCGAAAUGCGAUAAGUAAUGUGAAUUGCAGAAUUCAGUGAAUCAUCGAAUCUUUGAACGCACCUUGCACUCCUUGGUAUUCCGAGGAGUAUGCCUGUUUGAGUGUCAUUAAAUUCUCAAACCUCUUUGACUUUAUUGACAAGGAGGCUUUGGAUGUGGGAGUUGCUGGCUUUUACGAGUCAGCUCUCCUUAAAUACAUUAGUGGUUACUGUUCUCCACUUCCUGGUGUGAUAAUAUCUACGCCUAGUGGAGAUGUUAAGUGUAGCUGCUUUCUAACCGUCCAUGCAAUGUGGACAACUUGAACCAUUUGACCUCAAAUCAGGUAGGACUACCCGCUGAACUUAAGCAUAUCAAUAAGCGGAGGA
rnacentral:rRNA from 1 species